CCUACGGGAGGCAGCAGUGGGGAAUAUUGGGCAAUGGAGGCAACUCUGACCCAGCAAUGCCGCGUGAGUGAUGAAGGUAAUUUUAUUGUAAAGCUCUUUUCUUUGGUACGAAUAAAUGACGGUACCAAAGGAAUAAGCCCCGGCUAACUACGUGCCAGCAGCCGCGGUAAUACGUAGGGGGCAAGCGUUGUUCGGAAUGACUGGGCGUAAAGGGUGUGUAGGUGGUUUGAUAAGUUAGAUGUGUAAUACCCAGGGCUUAACUCGGGUGCUGCAUCUAAAACUGUUAGACUUGAGUACUGGAGAGGAUAGUGGAAUUCCAGGUGUAGGAGUGAAAUCCGUAGAUAUCUGGAGGAACAUCAGUGGCGAAGGCGACUAUCUGGAACAUAACUGACGCUGAGGAGCGAAAGCGUGGGUAGCAAACAGGAUUAGAUACCCCGGUAGUC
rnacentral:rRNA from 1 species